GGUUUUAUAGCUCAGUUGGCAGAGCGUGUGGCUGUUAAUCUCAAAGUCGCCGAUUCAAUCCCAGCCGAUACCG
rnacentral:tRNA from 1 species